rnacentral:rRNA from 1 species
GACGAACGCUGGCGGCGUGCUUAACACAUGCAAGUCGAACGGAAAGGCCCUGCUUUUGUGGGGUGCUCGAGUGGCGAACGGGUGAGUAACACGUGAGUAACCUGCCCUUGACUUUGGGAUAACUUCAGGAAACUGGGGCUAAUACCGGAUAGGAGCUCCUGCUGCAUGGUGGGGGUUGGAACGUUUCUGCGGUUGGGGAUGGACUCGCGGCUUAUCAGCUUGUUGGUGGGGUAGUGGCUUACCAAGGCUUUGACGGGUAGCCGGCCUGAGAGGGUGACCGGCCACAUUGGGACUGCGAUACGGCCCAGACUCCUACGGGAGGCAGCAGUGGGGAAUAUUGCACAAUGGGCGGAAGCCUGAUGCAGCAACGCCGCGUGCGGGAUGACGGCCUUCGGGUUGUAAACCGCUUUCGCCUGUGACGAAGCGUGAGUGACGGUAAUGGGUAAAGAAGCACCGGCUAACUGCGUG